rnacentral:rRNA from 1 species
GACGAACGCUGGCGGCGUGCUUAACACAUGCAAGUCGAACGGAAAGGCCCUGCUUGCAGGGUACUCGAGUGGCGAACGGGUGAGUAACACGUGGGUGAUCUGCCCUGCACUUCGGGAUAAGCCUGGGAAACUGGGUCUAAUACCGGAUAGGAGCCAUUUUUAGUGUGAUGGUUGGAAAGUUUUUUCGGUGUAGGAUGAGCUCGCGGCCUAUCAGCUUGUUGGUGGGGUAAUGGCCUACCAAGGCGGCGACGGGUAGCCGGCCUGAGAGGGUGGACGGCCACAUUGGGACUGGGAUACGGCCCAGACUCCUACGGGAGGCAGCAGUGGGGAAUAUUGCACAAUGGGCGCAAGCCUGAUGCAGCGACGCCGCGUGGGGGAUGACGGCCUUCGGGUUGUAAACUCCUUUCGCUAGGGACGAAGCUUUUGUGACGGUACCUAGAUAAGAAGCACCGGCUAACUACGUG